rnacentral:rRNA from 1 species
AUGCCGGUGGCGAGGCCGGAGCCGCAGGAGCCGCGGGUGAUCGCCCACCUCGACCUAGACUGCUUCUACGUGCAAGUCGAGCAGCGGAGGAACCCGGCGCUCAAGGGGCAGCCGACGGCCGUGGUGCAGUACAACGACUGGAAAGGCGGCGGUCUGAUUGCGGUGAGCUACGAGGCCCGCAAGUUCGGCGUCAAGAGGUCCAUGCGUGGGGAUGAGGCCAAGAAUGUCUGCCCAGGUAUAAACUUAGUCCAGGUUCCCGUGUCCCGUGACAAGGCCGACCUCAAUGUGUACCGAAAUGCCGGCUCCGAGGUCGUAGCGAUCCUUUCGACUAAGGGGAAGUGUGAGCGAGCAUCCAUGGACGAAGUGUAUCUCGACCUUACUGAUGCAGCCAAGGAAAUGCUCUUGGAAUCCCCUCCGGAGUCAUCAGAGUCUAUUUUUGACGAGGCCACAAAGUCAAAUAUCCUUGACCUUCCUUCUGAUGUCGGUGAAAGGGAGGAGAAUGUGAAGGCAUGGCUUUGUCGAGCAGAUGCCAACUACCAGGAUAAGUUGCUGGCAUGCGGAGCUAUACUUGUUGCACAGUUACGAGUAAAAGUUCUGGAGGAAACCCAAUUCACCUGUUCUGCUGGCAUUGCUCACAAUAAGAUGUUAGCUAAACUUGUUAGCGGGAUGCACAAACCUGCUCAACAAACAGUUGUUCCAUCUUCAUCAGUUCAAGACUUUCUAGCAUCACUGCCUGUGAAGAAGAUGAAACAACUUGGGGGUAAGCUUGGGAGCUCCUUGCAGGGCGAUCUGGGGGUCGAGACAGUUGGGGAUCUUCUAGGUUUUACAGAAGAGAAAUUACAGGAGUACUAUGGAGUAAAUACAGGAACGUGGUUAUGGAAGACUGCAAGGGGUAUUAGCGGAGAAGAAGUUGAGGACCGUCUUCUACCAAAGAGCCAUGGUUGUGGAAAAACAUUUCCUGGCCCAAAAGCAUUGAAGAAUCAUUCUUCUGUUAAGAGCUGGCUGGAUAAACUUUGUGAAGAAUUGAGCGAGCGGAUUCAGUCUGACUUGAGCUGCAACAAGAGAGUUGCUCAAACAUUAACUCUCCAUGCUAGGGCAUCUAAGGAAAAUGAGUCUAAUUCAGUGAAGAAAUUCCCUUCCAAAUCUUGUCCAUUACGCUAUGGGACUGGCAAAAUUCAAGAAGAUGCAAUGAAGCUAUUCGAAUCUGGCCUUCAUGAUUUUUGGGGUUCUCGGAAUGCUGGAUGGAGUAUAACAUCUCUUUCUGUUACAGCAAGCAAAAUAUUUGAUAUACCAAGUGGAACGAACUCAAUCUUGAAAUAUAUCAAAGGCCCAAGUUCCGAUGCAUCUUCGGCUAUCCUUGAUUCUUCCUCUACACCUGAGUUAACACCACUUGUUGUUCAUGAACAGUGUGAACCAUCAUCUAUAAAUGAAGAGUGUGGCAAUAGUAUUUCAGCCAAACAAUGUCGCUCAAUUGAAGGAAAAGGUGUGCCAAAGAAAUUAUCGAAAGUUCAGGGAACUGGCUCUAUUUUGAAGUUUCUUUCACAAAGUCAACCUGCCCAGCACGAGAAAAGAAACUUUGACGGCUUAAUUUGCAGCCAUCAAGGCCCGGAGAGUUCUUCAGGAGCAAGCGAGGCUGAACAACAUGGUAGGGACAAUAUUAACACGGCCGUCGUGCACUCUUCUGGUUCCGGUAACACAUGGAUGCUCAAUGUUGAAGACAUUGAUCCAGCCGUAGUAGGUGAACUGCCGCUGGAGAUUCAAAGAGAAAUACAGGGUUGGAUCCAUCCUUCGAAACAGGCAACCCCAAAGAAGAGAGGUUCCACCAUUUCUUCUUACUUUUCACCGGCAGGAAGGCAUGAUGAUGGAUUUACGCCGAGUCUCUCUGCGGCUUCCAGAUAUCUAGAAACAAAGAGAUAUAAGAUAUUACACGAUCAAUAA